CCACAACGCCGAAGAGGAUCAUGUACGGGGUGCUGGAGCUCUUGCAGGGAUCCUCAUGUCCAUGGCUGUGGAAGCACCCAGCUCUCCUGAUGGCCUUCAUGCUGAUGGACGACGCGAUGGUGUAGCCAAUGGCGACGCCGACGAGGUUAGCAUACUGUAUAAUACCGCAGAACACGACCUUGGCGCCGCCGAGGUUGGAGCGGACGGCGUCCAUGUAGGUGUAGUUGCGUUUGCCCGUCUCCGGGUCGCCCGUGCGGUAGCACUCGGCGAGCAGCGUGGCCGUGUAGUAGGUGACGAAGGCGAAGAGGAGCAUGGCGGUAGGGCCGGCGACCCAGCCGAGCUGCGCGAUGGCCCAGGCCAGGGAGAGCACGCCGGAGCCGAUGACAGCGGUGAUGAUGUGGGCGCUGGCCGUCCAGAACGUGCCGGUGCGACGAGGGCGGCCGUCGUCGUCCAGCCACGCGGCGGCACCGGCGUUGCCGGCCUCGACUGACACCUCCAUGGGCGCAACCGAGUGCAUGUUACUCACUCCGUUGUGCGCUGCCGGUGCCAUGGCCACUGAGCGAGAGCGAGCGAGCUCUGAUCCCUCUCUCGGAUUUCUUCUUCCUCUUCCUCCUCUCAGGGAGCUAGGUGAUGCGAGAAGCUGUGUGGGAGAAGUGUGCUCAGGGACGAGGAUAUAUAUAGACAGAUAGCUCGAGAGCAGGGAGUAGGGCAGUAGGCAGAGGUCUCUGUGUGCGUCUGCUUUCUAGUCAACGCUGCCGUUUUGGGUGUGUAUUUAUUUAUUUAUUUAUUUAUUUCCAUUUUUCUUUUCUCACUUUUUUUUUAUCCUUUGCGGCUGUGCCUUGGGUUGUCAUGCUAUAUCUCCUCGUUGGACUUUGAGUGCUUGGUUACAUCACUCUAUCUCUUCCUUGGACUUUUGUUGCUGUGCCUCUCUCUGGUCAACGGUGUUUGAACUCUGCUGGUGUGGGUCACGGUGUGCUUAGCAUUGUCUUGUGUCAGCCAUUGAUGAGACAUCCUCUUCUCCUAAGUUUAAGUACUCUCUCCAUUCCAAAUUAUGUCAUUUUAAGUUUCUUAGAGAGUCAAAAUAUCUCAAGUUUGAUCAAACUUAUAUAGUAUAAUAAUAACAUUUAUGAUAGUAACAAGUACAAUUAGAUUCUUCAUUAAUUAUAUUUUUAUAGUAUAUACCUAUUUAAUGUCAUAAACUUUUAUAAUGUUUCUUAUAGUUUUGGUCAAACUUGAGAUGCUUUGAACUAGAAUGGAGGGACUAUAUGUAUAAGCACUCAUUAUUGUCAAAAUCUUUUUGAAUAUUGUUUUGAUUUGUUUAAAAAAUUCAAUGGAUUUGCUUUGAAUGGUUUGGCAAAAUACAAACUUUGUUAUGUUUUAGACUGGUGAUGUGUGGGUGUAAUUGGUGUCUUAGCCACUUUGUCAAUGUCCGAAACGAUCCUCUCUCUCUCUCUAUCUCUGCAAGAAUGGCAUGAAAGGGUUAUUAGUAGGCAAGACCGGUGAUAUGAACCAAAUCCAUUAUCCAAAAACCAAAACAUAACUUUUAAUUGAUCACUUGGACCUCUGAUAAUAACAAACCUUGGGCCUUGUUUAGUUCACCCCGAAAACCAAAAAGUUUUCAAGAUUCCCCGUCACAUCGAAUCUUGUGGCACAUGCAUGAAAUAUUAAAUAUAGACGAAAACAAAAACUAAUUACACAGUUUAGCUGUAAAUCACGAGACGAAUCUUUUGAUCCUAGUUAAUCUAUAAUUGGAUAAUAUUUGUCACAAACAAACGAAAGUGCUACAGUUCCGAAAAGUUUUCACUUUUCGGAACUAAACAAGGCCUUGGUCUUCUGUUGCACCAAAUCUGAUUUUAGUUCAGCCACAAAAAUUACUGGCAAGCACGCUACACAUCAGCGGGCUCACAUACUCCGUCUCAUAUAAUGUCCCAUACAAUUUUUGCUUAUGUGGAGAAAAGAGAGAGGUGAGAGAGAAAAAGGUUGUUGUUUCAGGAAACAACCACCUCAUGAGCUAAGGUUUAGGACUAUGAGAAAAUUAUUUUACCAAUUGUAUAAGUUGUUGGUACCAUGCAACUCAUAAAUUACUUUUAUUCUAUAUAUAAAUUAAGAAAUUGUAAGUUACUACGAGAUAGCAUACAAAAUAACAAUUGUACAUGUCGUCAACAAAGUCAUUUUAAAAUUAUAUAGCACUACGUGAGACCACUUAUGAGACAACACCCGUGUACUUACCCUUAACGUUGCAAUCAUUUUGCCAUUUGGACUGGAUAUGGAUGGCGUGUGCCCAAAUGAUUGAUGCCGCUAUUUUUUUUCCAAUUAGUACUGAGGAAGAACAAAACUACACAACAAGUUUUAAGAGGAAACACUUAUGUGAGGGACGACAUCAACCUUGGUGACCAAUUCUCUCUAACAAUUUUGGCACAACUCUAGGAAGAAUCACAAGUGGUGGAACACUGACUUUGGAAGCUCACUGUGUCUGGAGAAUGCUCGGCUUAAUCGGCGUACUUCAUUUCUCAAAAAAGACUAGCUACCUGAUUUGUCAAAAAAAAAAAAAAAAUCGGCGUAUUCCUUGUCGCGGUAAACACGGAGUCGAACAAGCUGAUCUAGAAAACAUGGGCAUCUCCGAAGUCCGAACUGCAUGUUUUUCAGCCUCUGGACUGUCAGGGAAAAAAUGGUCGUUUGUCAGGGACUCUCUAGAAGGUAGGAAUAUAUAUUACGUACUUUAGUUAUUACCCAGAAAAAAGGUCGUGUUUUGGUUUACGGUGAAGUGAGAUUUGAAUGGAAAAAACGCUACGAAGCAUACCUAUGUCAUUAUAAAUACCUAGGCCUUGUUUAGUUCACCCAAAAACCAAAAGCUUUUCAAGAUUUCCCGUCACAUCCAAUCUUACGGCACAUAUAUGGAGCAUUAAAUAUAGAUAAAACAUAACUAAUUGUACAAUUUACCUGUAAUUUGUGAGACGAAUCUUUUAAGCUUAGUUAGUUCAUAGUUAGAUAAUAAUUACCAAAUACAAACGAAAUUGUUACAGUAUCAAAAUUUUUAAAAAAAUGAAUCUAAACAAGGCCAAUGACAAUAAUAUCAUGGUUAAUUAGCAUAUACUAAUCUCUAUACAUAUAUAUAAGGAUACCGUACUAAUUUUCAGAAUCCGCCACUCUACGAAAUGAUGUGAGUGAAGUAAUACACUCUGUUUAGAUAUAAGAAGUUAUUUUGACUUUUUUAGAUACAUAAUUUUUAUUAUGUUUUUAUACAUGUCAUAUAUUUACAUACAUAGCAAUUUUGUACCUAGAAAAUUCAAGACGACCAAAAGUUUGAGACAGAGGUGGUAUUUGCCUAUUUGGUAUUGAAAAUCUACUGUAUGUGUAUCUCACAGAUCGCCAACACACCAUGUGCAUGUGCAUAUAAUUUGAACACGGAAAAGCAAAAAAAAAAAAAAGAAGAUUCGUAGGACUGCACCAGAUGCAUGAUGCAUCAUAUCCAUUCGGCGCACAGUCCCGUAGCUCCUAUCAAUCAUUUGCUCAUCUUAUCUCCACAAUUGCCAAACAAAUAUAUCAUGUAUGUGCGACACACACACGAAAAAGCAAAACACUAAUGAUAUAAGCUGGUGUAGCAUGACAGGACGACACAGCCUAAUCUCUCUCUCUGACUCUGAUUAUGAUUAGCUAGGUUCGUUCCGUUUCAGUGAUGAUUUCUAUACUAGUCAAUUAUGACUGAAAAUACUAUUCACUAAUUUAUUAUUAAUGAAAAAUACUGUUAAAUAAUUAGCAGAUUCGAAGCUCAUUUCAAGCUAAUAAAGAAGCUAGACUUCCACGACGAUGCGUGUGAGGACCACCAGGCCCAACGCGCAAGCACCUCUGCUACCCGCUGGAGCGGAGUGGAGGGAGCGUGUCGGGCUGGGGUCAACGCACGGACACGUUAGAGUCGUUGCGCGUGCGCGAGCAGUGCAUGCGGCGGCGCGACUCCGGCAGCGGCGGCGCGCCCGGAGUCGCCGGCGGUGGCGUUAGGUCACUGACUCGCUGGUGCCCGUGCCACUACUCCCCGGUCGCUGUGGCUGUGUCUUCCGUUUAAUUUGUUCUCCGCAGCUGAGUCUGACGACCCUGACGCUGAAGAUUACUGUACCCAUGAUUUGCAAUGAUGAGAUGAGAACAACAAGUCAUUACCUGCCAUUGUCAUAUGGCCAAGUGCAUCAGAAAAUAAAUCCACAACAUGAAACAUUGCUAGAGCCCACACCAGCUGACGUUAAUUUUACAGAAUGUUGUUUAAUCAAAAUUUUUGGAGAUGCCCAGCCUAGUUCUCGAGAAUUUAAACAGUGUGGCUGACGUAGAAUUUCAACCUAUAGGGUAUGCUAAGCCAAUCCUCCCGUCUAAUUCAAUGCACAUUAUAUCAGCAAGCAAGUAUAAAUCUGUCGAGCAAUUUCGUAAACACCUAUAAAUUUGGCGGAUUUUAUAAAGUUAAAAUUAAUUGACUCCUUAAAAUACGCGAUGAAAAUUAAUUUUGGAGCAGAGGAAAUACAACUCAAUUAUUACUUAUUAGUUGUUCAACAAAUAAAUACGCAUUGUGGCAUGAAUCAUGAUGGAGUAUGAUCUAAUGUAAGUCUUAUGGGGAUGUCCGGGAAGGUCCGGGGUUCAGGUUGUAUGAAUAGCUGUAUUUGCUAACAAAUCAAACACGUGAGAAUCCUUGCCAAGUAUAACGUCAUCACCAUUGAUCUACUUAGCAUAUGCAUUUGACACCUGUAAUCUACUAAUCUAUACAUAGAUAUAAUCAUAAAUUUUUGAAAACAGAUUCCUCCUAUCUACGAUCAGUAAUAAUAUGCGUGAUGUGACUUUUGGAGCUUCCUACUAGCUAGAAAGGACGCUUUCAGAUAGAAAGUUGAUAGAUAGAUUGGCAAAAAGAACGAAGGGGACCCCAAAGCGCUAGCUAAAAUAGAAGCUAGAAAACCAAGUGCUUUGCUCUAUAUCAAUCCUUUAUUACCAGUGGUAGUGGGAACUCUUGGACAGUUGGACGAGACCGAUAGAAACUGGUGAUGCAACCCAAGUUGAAAAAAUUGGAGGUUUGGAGGGGUGAUUUGAUUUCUCAAAAUGGUGCCACUUUUUGAAUGGUCAAAAAGAAAACUUGAUGCUGCCAGCGCGUGCAGUUCACAUGCAUGUAGCAUGUUGGAGGUACUGCUCGAUCAGCGCAGUUGGCCACUUGCAACUGUUCUUGCCACCGGUAGCCCAAUAAUAGCCCACAUGUCGAUUUUAUGCUGGUGGAGAUCUCUCUAAUCGCUUAUUCGCACGAACAAAGACCAGAUUGGGACCAAUGAUCAACCCUUGAUGGUCAUCUCACUAUACAUAUCACACAUCAGUUUUUGCUUAUACAAGGGACGUCAAUCUUUUGUAUUCACCUGCUGCCUAUACUUUAUUGCAGAACUUAUUGGUAAGUUGCAAUCUCGUUGGUGUAAUUCUGUGUUGGCCUGUUGUACGCCUUUAUCUGUUGGUAGAAGCUGGUUGUAGUAGACUAGUAGCAAGUUCCUGGAGGUAGUUUCUCAGGUUGUUGCUUUCGUAUGCCUUUAGCUUGCUAUCUAUUCUAAAACCCUCUUUAAACUCUUGUAUUUCCGUUCAUGGAAUGGGAAUGAGGAUCUCCUCGAGUUGACAAAAAUUAGUCAUUAGUUAGUAAAAUCAUUUUUGGUGCUACGUACAAGAUCCACACUUCCACCUCCAUGCUCAAGUCUGAGAUCCGCUGCCACUUACUUGGCCCACACUUGACAUGAGCCACCACCAUCACCUGACCCUAGCCCGCCACCGUUGAUCUCCACCUUUGUGUUCUGCACUUGGUUGGCGGGCCUCCACCCUCGCGCGCCGCGCUUGGCUAGCAGGCCGGACUCGUGGCGUUCACUCAUUGUGGGGAUUUCUUGUUCUUGCCUCCACCAAGAUAGGGAGAACAAACGUCGUUGGCCAGCUGAUAGUAGAGAGGGACAUAUCAAAGUUGGGUGGGGAGCACCUAGAGCAUCGGAGUGGAGGCGAAAGUAAGAAGGUAGGGGUUAGAAGUGUGUGCGAUAGUGAUACAAAGGGAUGGAAGUAGCUAGGGUUUCUCUCACCCUCUGUUAUAUACCCUUAGGGUCAAGACAGGCUAGCCAUCAAUUAAUGGAGGAGGUUUAUUAUUAACAGGCCUGUCUCUCUAAAAGUGGCUCAUAUAUUUUCAUAGAUGGACCACUUAAGAGCAUGCUCUAUAAUUUAUUUUCAUAGAUAAUACUUUACUAUCAGCAUGCCCGUGUGUUGUGAUGGGAGAAAAAACUGUCAAGCAUUCAUGAAGAAGUAUUAUUUAUGUCUCACUAAUAAAUUAUAAAAGUUAUAAUUUAUUUUGUUAUGACCAUGAUAUUUAUAAUAUAAGCUGAUGUUUUUUCUGCGAGUGAUAAUAUAAGUUAAUGUUGAUAACAAUAUGACAAACUUUCUUCCUUAAAAGAUUGUAAAGUCAUCAUCUACCUGGUGACACCAAAUGUCGAUCAUGCUUAGGUAUCCGCGUCCGAUACGAAUCAUUUUCCACUCAAAACUCACACAUUUGCAUCCUACAUGGUUACAAUACGAAGACCAAUACAUGUGUCUGUGUUUAAUAUGAAGUCCUUGGAGCUCACGCAUCUGUGUCCGAGUACUGAGGUUCAAUCCAAAAAACUGUGAUCCCGGUACAAUGCUUGGGCAUAUAUCUAGCAUACUAUAAAGGCUGACCCUAAUUAAAAUAUAGUCUUGAUGGACUUUUUUCUCAAAUUGGAGAACACAUAAACAUUUACAUGUAGAUAUAUUAUAAAUUUAGUUUUCAUUCUAUCAUGUGUUGAUUAGAUUAUAACUUUAGUUUUCAUUCUAUCAUGUUUCCAUGACCUUUGAGGACUCAUAAAAAUCUAUACUUUAAUAUCUAUUAAAGUCAAUAAGGAGUUAGUUGUUGAUGUGCCAAGAAUACUAUGUCCACUAAUGAUUAGGACAAAAGACCUCUCUUGACUUUUCACAUGGUAGCCCUCAUCAGAGAUUGCAGAGAUACAUUUAUUUAGACGGGAUUAGACAACAAACUGCUCAUGAUUUGUAACACCCAAAAUCUGAUUUUUAAGUAAUAGGAUUUAAUUUGAUUAAUUUGAAUAUUUUGUGAGCAUUUAAAUUAGUAAACAAAUAAAUUUUUGGUUGAAAUUAAAAUUCAUCAUAAGAUUAGAAACAUGUUUUGUGUUCAUGCUGGAGCACAUCUUAUUCUAUGCUUGCUGUUUUUUUUGUGUGAAUUUAUUUGCAUUCAAAACAUCUUUUUGAAAAGGCUUUGGAAAGUAAAAUAAAAAAAAAGAAAAGAAAACCCCAGCCAACCCCUGGGCCCAAUCCCCCUCACUCGGCCCAUUCCCACUCCCGGCCCGCGCGCGCACACUGAUCCCCUCCCUCUCUUCUUCUCUGGCCGACAGCCAGGGGUCCCGUACCUCUUUCACUGAUGCGUGGGGUCCACGUGACAGCGCCUUGGCUUCCUUCCUUUCUUCCUCUCGGGACCGAGCAGGACUCACCGGGAGCCACCAAAUCCGGUUCGACCCCGCUUUCUGCGGGAUUUGAUUUUUCCGAACCCCUUUUUAGCCCUUGGAGAACCCCCUGCGACCCUCUCUUCCAUCUACGCGCGUUGGUAGCCAACCUCGCAGCUCCCCGUCGCCGUGUUGGAUCUCGCCGAAACAGAAACGGAGCCGCCGCCGCGACCGACCUCCUCCGUCCCUUUCCAGCCCGAGGAAACCCUCUGCGCGGCUUCGGAGUAAGCUCCUCUCUCCCCUGGCGGUUUCCUUUCAUCCAGAGACUCUCGGGAACGCGAGAUCGAGGAGCUCCGGCAAGCUCCUGGGCGCCGGCCAUGGCGUCCGCCGUGGAGGGCUCGCCGCCGGUCGGCCGGAUUCAUCCCCAAGCCCUCCCAGCCGUCCAAAUCACGAUCGACGCUCAAGAUUAGAAGUUACCCCUUCGGGGCGAAAAUUCUUAAAGAAACCCUCGGCUUUCUCUUAUUUGCUCCGCGGUCCUUGGCGCCCCAAGUAGGUUUACGCCUUCCAAAUUCAGAAAGCGUAUUCUCUGCCGGUUAGACUAAAAUACUGUAAUAUCCGAUUUUAAGGACAAAACCAGAUAUGCACCAUAUGUGAGUUUUAGAAGUCAAAUCUCACAUAUAGCUACAAAUAAAGGGUAAUAUCAUAAGACAAUGAGUAAAUAUAUAACGUACUCAGUAUAAAAGAUAUAACCUUUGAUAUCAAACAGCGGACAGACAACUCCAAACUUCGGGUAUUAACUUCACUCCACAGGAUCCAACGGACUGGUUGAUCACAAGCCUAAACUCCUCCUGAAGUUUGGGGGAAAUAGCAAGAGUGAGUCCAUGUCGAACUCCACAAGUAUAGCAAAUAGAUUGUAUAGCUCCCACAAUCUCAUGAUCGAUGUGACAUAAAUAAUGUAAAGCAUUAAACAAUAAACAAUGAGCAUAUUUAACACACAAGAUUCAUCACCCUUAAUGUAGAUGUCCCCAAGGCCGCUCCUGUCCGUGAGCUCGGCUAGUAUACUAGUUUUAACACUCUGCAGAGGUUGCACAUCUUUACCCAUGAGUCAUGAUUUACCCUUUCGCCCGAGGUGAUCAGCCUCUUAACCCACUUCCAAGGAAGGUUGGCAGGGAUCACUAUGAAGCCUUUCAAAAGUUCGUCUAACAUGUUAGGGCCGCAAGGUUUCCUUUGCGCGCAGAUAUAGAUACCCCCCUUCCGAAUGGCACAAUGACGCGCAGCCUAUACACAUAGGGACAGGGGCUCGCACUAUACCCAAAACGGUUCAGCCCCUCCGUCCUUUCGGGUAACCUCUAACAAGCUAGAAAAGGUCUUCAUACUGAGCUAAAGCCAGAGCCAUUAUAGCCCUCAUGGUUGCACUGUUGUCCCGGGUGAUCACGUACAGACAAAUCAUCAAGUUGCUAAAAAGUCAUUUUUAUCAUUUAUUACUUAACAUUAAUCUAGUCACAGGAUCAUGGUCACAGAAUUAAAAUCCAAAUGCUAUACUUGCCUUAAACCAAAUGCUCUUGCUGAUCUUGAUCACUGAAGCACUCUUGAUCACCACGAAUUGCUCACCGACUAAUUCCGAUCAUCGAUCACAAACAUACGGCAACAAACAUACACGAAGCAAACAAGGCUACAAUUAGAACAGUACACCAAUCAUAUAAAAAUAGUAUGAAAAGUUUAUAAAAAGAUUCUACACAUCACUACGAUCACACGAACGUAAAUAUCACGAAAAUCGAAGCUAAAACGGAAAAUUUAUGAAUUUUCUAAGAUUUUAUAUAGAAAAAUAAUUGAUUAAAGUCACGAAAUUAUAAAGUUUCAAACUGAGAAAACAGUGUUACUAACAUGUAGAUAUUUUAAAGACGAGUCUAACGCAAUUUGAAUGGGUCAAAACGGAAUUAAAAUGAAUAUUUUAUGACCAAAAGAAAAUCAGUGGCAAACUUGUAAUUUCCUGAGCGAUUAGUGCUGGGCCGGUUCGGAAACAAAUAGCGUAAACCAGAUAGACGCUUUGGAGCGGGUUCAUUUGGAAAUACUUCAUAGAAAUACCUAGAUUAAGUUAAAUUAUAUUUGAGUUACAAAAUCGAGAUAAAACUAAUUUUAUUUUUUUUUUUUUGAAAAUGUAAAUUAAUACACACUAAAUAAUAUUACCGUCGAGAGUUUUAUAUUACAAAAGAAAUAGUCACAAGCUUAAUUUAUUUUAAUCAAGGGAGAUCAUAUUAAUGUUUGCUUAUAAAAUAUCAUGGCGCAGAACCUAUGUUUGCUUUUAAUUUAGAAAAGUGGUAGCAUGCACACUAAUCAAAUUAGUAGCUAAUUUAUUUAACUCAGAAACAUGUGACGUGAUUAUCACUGAAUUGGAAAGGAGGUUGGGCUGACCAUUAAUCAUUAUGUCACUUGCGGCAUGCAACGGAGCAAGCUGGCUUGAGUCCUUCCACUGGUUUGGCUUUGGAUUGCAGGAUGGUAAGAUGCAGCGACUGCUCAAAUAGAUAUCUAGUGUAGUCAGCUGAUGAGGAUUAUGCUUGAAUUAGGAUAGAUGCGUGAACUAAAAGCAAGGUUAUGCACGGUUCCUUACCAACAACAGAGAAGCACCAAAGAAGACAGCAGGCGUUGAUGACCAGACCUGCUGCUCAAACGAUUCUCCACCUCCGUGAUAAGAAUAGCGAUAGUAGAUGGAUCAGCAAUGCUGGGAUGAUAAAGAGAAAAAAAAAUUGAUUUACUACCUAGGGAUUCCUAAACCUGGGGCUUCCCUCAUGGUAGUUUUGGUGUGUGCUUAACCCAAAAAGUUGGUACAUAUAUAGGGAGAAAAACUCGUCACAUCCACAUCAAUUAGCAAUAUGGUACUAAUUGAUGUUGAAAUCUCCAUCUUUACUAAUAGGCCUAAUUAAUUAUUAAAGCCCAUUAGUAAAUAAAACAUUUGGUCUUUGAAUCAUGAUGACGUUGGAUUUGAGUAAAAUGAAGACAUUAUUAUUUUCGAAAUUAAUUAUUUUCAUGGAUAAAAUAAUUCUAGAAAAGUUCAUAAUUAGUAGUUAAGCCACGAAAAAUACUCCGAAAGCUUCGAAAAUUUGGAAAAAAUUCUCAGAGAUAUUAUAGAAUAUGAGGAAUCCAAAUAAAGUAUUUGGAGCUUAUGAUGAGAUAAUUUGGGGCAUCUAAAAUUAGAUUUAUGCUCAUAGAAAAGGCUAGAAAAAUACCCGAGAAGUUUGUAGAUAUUGCUUAAUGGACGAGAAACUUAAACGAGUGACUUAGGUUUGAAAGAAAAGAUUCUGAGAGACCCUGACCGAAAUCUUGAGCUAAGAGACAAGGAAUUUGAUUGUAGAAAAAGAUAAAUACGUGUCGAAUAAGGAAGAUCGAUCUACUAAAUGUAUUUUAAAUAUUUUUCUUACUAUCAACACACAAAGGAGCAAUAAGCAGACAUCACCCAAAAUCAUAUGCAUCAGCAUGUAUACACAACCAUGUUGCUAAGCCUUAUGAUAAACUUUAAUCUAAUGAAAAAUAUAAUUUUUUUCCUAUAUUUUCAUGAGCACAAAAAAAAAUACAAAACUAAAUCGAUUUUCAUCUAUUUUGAAAGGAGCAAAUUUUAGGGUGUUACAAAUACGCUUUCAGAUAAUUACAGAAUUGCCAUCGAAUUUGUUUUGCUUAUAAAAUGUUCAUUUUAACUCCGUUUUUGUCCGUUCAAAUUUCGUUGGAUUCGUAUUUACAAGCUCUACAUGUUAGAAGUAAUAUUUUACAGUUUUGAAACUUUUAAAUUCUGUAGUAGCAUUUAAUUAAUUAUUUCUCUAUAGGAAAUCGUAGAAAACUCAUAAAUUCUCUGUUUUAAUUCCGAUUUUCGUGAACUUUACGUUUCUGUGAUCGUAGUGCUGCGUAGAAUAUUUUGAUAAACUUUUAUAUUUGUGUUACCACUGUUUGGUGUAAUGUUCUAAUUAUAGCUUGUUUGCUUCGUGUAUGAUUGUCUGCAUUGGAAUGCGUGUUGUUGAUUGAUGAUCGAGUAUAGACGGUGAGCGGUACGUUGGUGAUCAAGACCAAGACUUUGAGGACCAGCAGGCUCAGGAGAGCUUUGAUCAAGGCAAGUAUAACUUGGGAUCAUCCUUGUUACCUAUACACACUUAACACAUUAUAUAUCAUAUGCAUGCUUUCACCUUGAUGACCUUAGCAAAAUCAUAGAUGAUUGUUAUUCUGAAUUUCUUGUUACCUAUUUAGAUAUGCAUUUGGGUAGUCUUGCUAGUGCUUGAUUAUUAAUCCAUGAUCUUGUAACAUGAAUAUUUGAAUAUACAAUAAACAAUAAAAUAAGCUUUCUAGCAACUUGAACAUAAAGGGUGGAAAGAACUCUGGCUUUUGCUGGAUUGAUCUUGACCCUCCAUAAGGACUUAUCCCUUGGCAAAAGCUAGGACAACUCGUACAACCAUGAGGGCUAUAUGGCUCUGGCUUUAGUCAAGUUUGAGUAAUUUUUCUAGCUUGUUAGAGGUUACCCGAAAGGGCGGAGGGGCUGAACCGUUUUGGAUAUAGUGCGAGCCCCUGUCCCUAUGUGUAUAGGCUGCGCGUCAUUGUGCCAUUUGGAAGGAAGAUAUCUAUAUCUGCGCGCAAAGGAAACCUUGCGGCCCUAACAUGUUAGACGAACCUUUGAAAGACUUCAUAAUGAACCCUGCCGACCUUCCUUGGAAGUGGGUUAAGCGGCUGAUCACCUCGGGCGAAAGGGUAAAUCAUAACUCAUGGGUAAAGAUGUACAAUCUCUGCAGAGUGUUAAAUCUGGUAUACUAGCCGUGCCCACGGAUACGGGCGGCCCGGAAAACUGACGGAAUAGAUGGACACUGAUGAAUGUGAAUAAUGACAAUAAAUGAUGGUUUAUUAUGUUGUUUAUAUGUGUUAUUCUUAAUUCUUGUAUACAUUGAUCAUGUGGUUAUGGGAUUUAUUAUGCUACCUUGACUUUUGCUAUCCAAUAAUUAAACAUGUUAUCCACUAUUAAAAGCUAAAUGCAGUCAAACCAGUGUCAGCUAUUUGAGCCUCAUGAACCCGUGGUUAUACUUGUUGAGUACGAUAUGUGCUCACUCUUGCAAUUUCCCAAUACCCCAGGAUAUGAUAAUGAAGAUGACUGGAAUGAGGAUUACCGUUAUGAGUACUAGACUUGGAGUCAACCAGUCAAUGUUGUCCCUGUGUGGAGCUUCCGUCGAGAGCGUUGUUUACUUCAUGCUAUCAUUUUUGUAUGAGACUAUGUGAUUUAUUAUUGUUCCGCUAUGUAAUAAACACUGCAAUGGUACAUUUGAGAUUUGUCUACUUAUGUGUGCGACUAUUCCUGGGGCACAUAUGAGUCUUUUAUGCAUCCUAUUUUGUUCUUAAAAUAUGGGUGUGACAAAUUGGUAUCAAAGCUUUGUUGACUGUCGGACGCAAGCCUAGUUAGAAAUUGGCCGUCUUAAGGUUUUAAAAUUGCUAUAAAAUCCUUGCUCUAUAAACCUUGAUAUUUUCUUCUACACUAUAUCCUAUUCAUCUUCACCUUGUUGCUUAUUUUAAAGACUUGUUCUCAUCCCCACUCCUUGUUUUGAAUAUGCUUUUAGAACUCUUCUUACCACCUUCUAACAUCAUUGAAAUAGGAGUUAUAGGAUCUUUACCCUUAAUAGGAAGAGAACGAUAGUACGGUAAGUUGAGUCAAUGCUUGAAGUGUGAACCUUUGAUGCUUGGUUUGGUUUGUUAUUAUGCCUAUGUUUGAUUUGGAUCUUUGUAAUGAGUGUAAUGAUCUUAUGGAAUUUUCUCCAUAAUUUCAUUUAGUCUAUAGGCCUAAGGCAUAAGGAUUAAUGAACUAAAUAGUGGGGUUUGGUUAAAAUUCUGCUUCUAUCUCUUACUGUUUUCUGGAGCAGUCUGCAGUAAAUCUGGUAUAUCUCAAAUUCAGUUCGUGCAAUGUUCAUCAAAUUUUUCUGGGAACCACUAGACUUCAUGAUCUUUCCAAUGCAGCAAGAAUGAAAUUAGUAUCUAUUAUGGUCUGUGAGAUAUAACCGUUCAAAGUUGAGGUUUCUGCGCAGUCUGGAAUUCUGGAACAGUCUCAGUUGUACCCAGUUUUUGAUUAACCUAACUUUGGAACCUGUUAAUAUGAUCUAAACGAAAGUUGUAGACAAUUUCUUUAUUUUUCCAACGGUGUACAACAUGUAUCCUUUUGAAUUCUGGAACUUGAGAUAUGACUGGUUUUCUGAUCUGCUGAUGUUGGAUGUUACCCAGAAAAUUUCAGAUUCCGUUAACUCUUGUAAUUGUCAUGUUGGACAUUACUAAGAUGUGUUUAUAUACCUUGGAAUGCAGAUGGCAGCAAGGGGAAGAGGCAGAGGCAGAGGCCAUGGCAAUGGCAAUGGUGGCAAUGGCCCAAUCACCGUGGAGGAACUCAUGCAAACCCAAAAUGAGAUGAUGCACGUCUUCAUGCAGCACUUACAGCAGCAACCUCCACCAACACCACCACCUGUCCAUGUGAGAGAUAAGCGUGGUGAAUUUAUGAAGGGAAGACCUCCGGUGUUUACACACUCCGCUGAUCCUCUGGAGGCAGAUGAUUGGCUUCGUGCUGUAGAGAGGCAACUGAACAUAGCCCAGUGCAAUGAUAUGGAAAAAGUGUUGUAUGCUUCUGGACAACUUCAGGGUGCAGCUCAGACAUGGUGGGAAUCGUAUCAAGCUGCUCGUCCCAACAAUGCUCCUCCUGUCAUAUAGCUGGAAUUCUGUAGAGACUUCAGAGCACGACAUAUAAAUGAGGGAAUGAUGGAGCUCAAGCAAGAAGAAUUCAGAUCACUCAGGAUGGGCUCCAUGACAGUGGCAGAAUAUCAUGACACUUUUGAGCAGUUGGCUCGUUAUGCUCCGAACGACGUCAGGGAAGAUGCUGAUAAGCAGCGUCUAUUCAUGAAAGGUCUUUACUACGAGCUCAGGUUGCAGUUGGCUGGAAACACCUAUCCUACCUUCCAGGCACUUGUGAAUCGUGCCAUUGUGCUUGAUAAUAUGCGUAAGAGUCAGGAUAAGAAGAGAAGGAUGCUGGCACAAGGAUCUGGGAGCAACAACCGUCAGCGUUUCAGUUCUCAGCAAGGCUAUCAGCAGAGGUUCCAAGGGCCAGUUAGUCAGUGGAACCGCAACCAGCAACCUCAGCGUUUCCAGAAUCAAUCUCAGAGUGGGAACCAACGUCCUUCAUUUCAGCAACGUAACUAUAAUCAACAGCAGCAUGGUCAGCAGUCACCUCGCUCAGGGAACUCAAAUGCCAACUCCACAAAAAGAAUUGCUUCUAACGCUCAUACAAGGUGUUUCCGUUGUGGGAAAGAGGGACAUAUGUCAUAUGAUUGCCCGAAGAAGCUCAACAAGCCGAACAACAACCAGAAGUCUACUGCUUAUGCGGCAACAGUGAAUAAUGUGGCUACAGAGACAGUUCAGGAGGGACCAGAGAUCAUGAUGGGUACGUUCAGCAUCAACUCUAUCCCUGCUACAGUUUUAUUUGAUUCUAGAGCUUCGCAUACAUUCAUAUCACAAGCAUUUGUUAGAGUUCAUAGGGUUCCACUAGUUGCAAUGAAAACCCCUAUGCUAGUUAAUUCACCGGGUGGGACUAUACCAGUUUCUUUAUGUUGCCCCUCAGCAAGUCUUUCUUUAAGGGGGGUAGAUUUCCCUAUCAGUCCCAUGGUUAUGAGAACUUCAGGCAUAGAUGUGAUCUUGGGUUUGGAUUGGAUGAAGCAACAUGAGACAAAUAUUAAUUGCAAAGAGAGAGUAGUGGCUCUGACAACACCAAAGGGAGAACGAAUCAGUGUUAAUGUAACAGUGCAAGCACCACUCACAGCCAAAGUGAACCAACUGAAUGAUGAUGUUGAUCCUCAGAAUCUGGUAGUGGAUGAGUUUCCGGAUGUCUUUCCAGAUGAAUUGCCAGGUAUGCCACCUGACCGAGACAUUGAAUUUAUUAUUGAAUUACUACCUGGUACUGCACCCAUAGCUAAAAGACCAUAUAGAAUGGGGGUUAAUGAACUAGAAGAACUUAAGAAACAAAUUAAGGAAUUGCAAGAUAAAGGGUUCAUUCGUCCUAGUUCAUCACCAUGGGGUGCACCAGUUAUCUUUGUUGAUAAGAAGGAUGGUAGUCAGAGGAUGUGUGUUGAUUAUCGGUCACUUAAUGAGGUCACUAUCAAGAAUAAAUACCCAUUGCCUAGGAUUGAUGACUUGUUUGAUCAACUAAGAGGUGCUUGUGUGUUCUCUAAGAUUGAUUUGCGUUCUGGUUAUCAUCAAUUGAAGAUUCAGAAUUCAGAUAUACCAAAGACAGCUUUCACAACAAGGUAUGGGUUGUAUGAGUAUACAGUUAUGUCUUUUGGUUUGACCAAUGCACCAGCUUACUUUAUGUACAUGAUGAAUAAAGUAUUUAUGGAGUAUCUUGAUAAGUUUGUGGUGGUCUUUAUUGAUGAUAUUCUGGUAUUCUCUAAAACCAAGGAAGAACAUGCUGAACACCUAAGAUUGGUCUUACAGAAACUUAGAGAACAUAAGUUGUAUGCUAAGCGUAGUAAAUGUGAGUUUUGGUUGGAGGAAGUUUCUUUUCUCGGUCGUGUUGUCUCUAAUGGUGGUAUUGCAGUGGAUCCUAGUAAGGUGAAAGAUGUGUUGAACUGGAAACCACCUACAGAUGUAAGUGAAAUUCGCAGUUUUCUUGGUUUAGCUGGUUACUAUCGUAUAUUCAUCGAAGGGUUCUCAAAACUUGCCAAGCCUAUGACUGCUCUGUUGGAGAAGAAUGCGAAGUUUGUAUGGUCUGAUAAGUGUCAAGCUAGUUUUGAGGAGUUUAAGAAGAGAUUGACUACUGCACCUGUGUUGGUAUUACCAGAUCUGAGUAAGAGUUUCUCUAUCUAUUGUGAUGCUUCUCGGCUGGGUUUGGGUUGUGUUCUUAUGCAAGAAGGUAGAGUUGUUGCUUAUGCAUCUAGACAGUUGAGGAAACAUGAACUGAAUUAUCCUACUCAUGAUUUGGAGUUAGCAGCUGUGGUUCAUGCAUUGAAGAUUUGGAGACACUAUUUGAUUGGGCAUAAGAGUGACAUAUACACUGAUCAUAAGAGUUUGAAGUAUAUCUUCACCCAGACCGACCUGAACUUGAGGCAACGAAGGUGGUUGGAACUGAUAAAGGAUUAUGAUUUGGAAGUGCAUUAUCAUCCUGGAAAGGCGAACGUCGUAGCUGAUGCACUUAGCAGAAAGAAAUAUGCUAAUGAGCUUCGGGCGACACCUGAAUCUGAGGAGUUGUGUGCUGAAUUUGCAUAUUUGAACUUGGGGAUUGUAGUAAAUGCUAUGGAAAUUGAGGUCGCUCCUACUCUAGAGGAAGAGAUAUUGAAAGGACAGUUAGAAGAUGAGAAACUAAAGGAGAUAGCACAGAAUGUGGUACUAGGCAAAGCACCAGGAUUCAGAAUAGAUGACAAUGGUGUAUUGUGGUUUGGAAAAAGAAUAUGUGUUCCUGAAGUGAAGGCUAUUCGUGAUAUGAUUCUGAGAGAGGCUCAUGAGUCAGCAUAUUCCAUUCAUCCUAGUAGUACUAAGAUGUAUCUAGAUCUGAAACAGAAGUAUUGGUGGUACGGGUUGAAGAGAGAUGUAGCUGAGUAUGUUGCUUUGUGUGAUACUUGUCAGCGAGUGAAGGCUGAACACCAGAGGCCAGCUGGACUGUUGCAACCAAUGAAGAUUCCUGAAUGGAAGUGGGAAGAAGUAGGCAUAGAUUUCAUAGUGGGUUUACCUCGUACACAGAGAGGAUAUGAUUCAAUAUGGGUAAUAGUGGAUCGAUUGACUAAAGUUGCUCACUUCUUGCCAGUCAAAACCACUGAUUCAGGAGCUCGACUAGCAGAAUUGUAUAUGGAGCGGAUAGUUUGUUUGCAUGGGGUGCCUAAGAAGAUUGUAUCUGAUAGAGGCACUCAGUUCACCUCUACUUUUUGGAAAGCAGUGCAUGAUUCCUUGGGGACAAAGUUGAAUUUUAGUACAGCAUAUCAUCCACAGACAGAUGGACAGACUGAGAGGAUCAAUCAGAUACUGGAGGAUAUAUAAAGAGCUUGUGCUUUGCAGUAUGAAACUAGUUGGGAUAAGAGUUUGCCAUAUGCAGAGUUUUCCUACAACAACAGUUAUCAGCAAAGUCUUAAAAUGGCACCGUUCGAGGCACUGUAAGGCCGUAAGUGCAGGACACCUUUGUUUUGGAAUCAGAUAGGAGAGACUCAGGUAUUUGGUACAGAUGUGCUUAGACAUGCAGAACAACAAGUGCGGGCUAUCCGGGAUAAUCUGAGAGUUGCUCAGUCUCGUCAGAAAAGUUAUGCAGAUACACGUAGGAGAGAACUAGCUUUCGAGGAAGGCGAUUAUGUCUAUCUGAAAGUGUCACCUAUGCGGAGUGUGAAGAGGUUUAAUAUGAAAGGAAAGCUAGCUCCAAGGUAUGUUGGCCCGUUUAAAGUUUUGCAAAGGUGUGGAGAAGUAGCGUAUCAGCUAGAGUUGCCUGAAAGUUUAUCUGGUGUGCCUGAUGUGUUCCAUGUGUCACAACUUAAGAAGUGUUUGCGUGUACCUGAGGAGCAAAUACCAUUGGAAGAGCUUUCUGUUAAAGGUGAUCUCACUUAUGAAGAGUAUCCGGUCAGGAUAUUGGAGACAACUGAAAGAGUCACCAGAAGUCGGGUGAUUAGAAUGUGCAAAGUGCAGUGGAAUCGGUAUUCAGAAGCGGAAGCAACUUAGGAAAGAGAGGACGAUCUGAGGAAAUCAUAUUCAUAUUUAUUUGAGUAAGCCCUGUUCAAUCUCGAGGACGAGAUUCUUUUAAGGGGGUAGAGUUUGUAACACCCAAAAUCUGAUUUUCAAGUAAUAGGAUUUAAUUUGAUUAAUUUGAAUAUUUUGUGAGCAUUUAAAUUAGUAAACAAAUAAAUUUUUGGUUGAAAUUAAAAUUCAUCAUAAGAUUAGAAACAUGUUUUGUGUUCAUGCUGGAGCACAUCUUAUUCUAUGCUUGCUGUUUUUUUUGUGUGAGAAUUUAUUUGCAUUCAAAACAUCUUUUUGAAAAGGCUUUGGAAAGUAAAAUAAAAAAAAAAGAAAAGAAAACCCCAGCCAACCCCUGGGCCCAAUCCCCCUCACUCGGCCCAUUCCCACUCCCGGCCCGCGCGCGCACACUGAUCCCCUCCCUCUCUUCUUCUCUGGCCGACAGCCAGGGGUCCCGUACCUCUUUCACUGAUGCGUGGGGUCCACGUGACAGCGCCCUGGCUUCCUUCCUUUCUUCCUCUCGGGACCGAGCAGGACUCACCGGGAGCCACCAAAUCCGGUUCGACCCCGCUUUCUGCGGGAUUUGAUUUUUCCGAACCCCUUUUUAGCCCUUGGAGAACCCCCUGCGACCCUCUCUUCCAUCUACGCGCGUUGGUAGCCAACCUCGCAGCUCCCCGUCGCCGUGUUGGAUCUCGCCGAAACAGAAACGGAGCCGCCGCCGCGACCGACCUCCUUCGUCCCUUUCCAGCCCGAGGAAACCUUUUGCGCGGCUUCGGAGUAAGCUCCUCUCUCCCCUGGCGGUUUCCUUUCAUCCAGAGACUCUCGGGAAUGCGAGAUCGAGGAGCUCCGGCAAGCUCCUGGGCGCCGGCCAUGGCGUCCGCCGUGGAGGGCUCGCCGCCGGUCGGCCGGAUUCAUCCCAAAGCCCUCCCAGCCGUCCAAAUCACGAUCGACGCUCAAGAUUAGAAGUUACCCCUUCGGGGCGAAAAUUCUUAAAGAAACCCUCGGCUUUCUCUUAUUUGCUCCGCGGUCCUUGGCGCCCCAAGUAGGUUUACGCCUUCCAAAUUCAGAAAGCGUAUUCUCUGCAGGUUAGACUAAAAUACGCUUUCAGAUAAUUACAGAAUUGCCAUCGAAUUUGUUUUGCUUAUAAAAUGUUCAUUUUAACUCCGUUUUUGUCCGUUCAAAUUUCGUUGGAUUCGUAUUUACAAGCUCUACAUGUUAGAAGUAAUAUUUUACUGUUUUGAAACUUUUAAAUUCUGUAGUAGCAUUUAAUUAAUUAUUUCUCUAUAGGAAAUCGUAGAAAACUCAUAAAUUCUCCGUUUUAAUUCCGAUUUUCGUGAACUUUACGUUUCUAUGAUCGUAGUGCUGCGUAGAAUAUUUUGAUAAACUUUUAUAUUUGUGUUACCACUGUUUGGUGUAAUGUUCUAAUUAUAGCUUGUUUGCUUCGUGUAUGAUUGUCUGCAUUGGAAUGCGUGUUGUUGAUUGAUGAUCGAGUAUAGACGGUGAGCGGUACGUUGGUGAUCAAGACCAAGACUUUGAGGACCAGCAGGCUCAGGAGAGCUUUGAUCAAGGCAAGUAUAACUUGGGAUCAUCCUUGUUACCUAUACACACUUAACACAUUAUAUAUCAUAUGCAUGCUUUCACCUUGAUGACCUUAGCAAAAUCAUAGAUGAUUGUUAUUCUGAAUUUCUUGUUACCUAUUUAGAUAUGCAUUUGGGUAGUCUUGCUAGUGCUUGAUUAUUAAUCCAUGAUCUUGUAACAUGAAUAUUUGAAUAUACAAUAAACAAUAAAAUAAGCUUUCUAGCAACUUGAACAUAAAGGGUGGAAAGAACUCUGGCUUUUGCUGGAUUGAUCUUGACCCUCCAUAAGGACUUAUCCCUUGGCAAAAGCUGGGACAACUCGUACAACCAUGAGGGCUAUAUGGCUCUGGCUUUAGUCAAGUAUGAGUAAUUUUUCUAGCUUGUUAGAGGUUACCCGAAAGGGCGGAGGGGCUGAACCGUUUUGGAUAUAGUGCGAGCCCCUGUCCCUAUGUGUAUAGGCUGCGCGUCAUUGUGCCAUUUGGAAGGGAGGUAUCUAUAUCUGCGCGCAAAGGAAACCUUGCGGCCCUAACAUGUUAGACGAACCUUUGAAAGACUUCGUAAUGAACCCUGCCGACCUUCCUUGGAAGUGGGUUAAGCGGCUGAUCACCUCGGGCGAAAGGGUAAAUCAUAACUCAUGGGUAAAGAUGUACAAUCUCUGCAGAGUGUUAAAUCUGGUAUACUAGCCGUGCCCACGGAUACGGGCGGCCCGGAAAACUGACGGAAUAGAUGGACACUGAUGAAUGUGAAUAAUGACAAUAAAUGAUGGUUUAUUAUGUUGUUUAUAUGUGUUAUUCUUAAUUCUUGUAUACAUUGAUCAUGUGGUUAUGGGAUUUAUUAUGCUACCUUGACUUUUGCUAUCCAAUAAUUAAACAUGUUAUCCACUAUUAAAAGCUAAAUGCAGUCAAACCAGUGUCAGCUAUUUGAGCCUCAUGAACCCGUGGUUAUACUUGUUGAGUACGAUAUGUGCUCACUCUUGCAAUUUCCCAAUACCCCAGGAUAUGAUAAUGAAGAUGACUGGAAUGAGGAUUACCGUUAUGAGUACUAGACUUGGAGUCAACCAGUCAAUGUUGUCCCUGUGUGGAGCUUCCGUCGAGAGCGUUGUUUACUUCAUGCUAUCAUUUUUGUAUGAGACUAUGUGAUUUAUUAUUGUUCCGCUAUGUAAUAAACACUGCAAUGGUACAUUUGAGAUUUGUCUACUUAUGUGUGCGACUAUUCCUGGGGCACAUAUGAGUCUUUUAUGCAUCCUAUUUUGUUCUUAAAAUAUGGGUGUGACAUGAUUUCAGUUAUUGUUUUAAUUAGUUAAUCCAUUGGCUAAUCUAGGUUUUAACAAUGAACAUGUUUCUAAUCGAAAUUACGUCAACAACUUCGCAGUAAAAAUCUUUAUUUCAUAGAGAAGAGUCAAUAGUUCAAACGUCAAACGCGAAUAAUAUUGUAUCUAUUAUUUGUUUUUAUUUUUUGUAGAAAAAAUACUUGAGCAGAUAAAAGGAUACUAUCAAAAAAAUCCAAAACUAAAAAGAGUAGAUGGAAGCCAAAAGAAAAUUCUGACUGCUGAACUACACACGAACACAAACCAAAGAAAUGAAAAUUAGUAAAAGAUUAGAUCCAAACUGAAGUGGACUUUGAAAAGAGGAUUAUUGCUAGUUAAAAAACCAGAAUCCAUAUAGAGAUCAGAGUUGGACGAAAAACAAUUAUGGCAGAAAUUUUGUCUUUUUAUUAUUAGGUAAAGGUAUAGAUUGUGUAUCUUCUUAAAUGGACCAACAGUCUCUAAAACUUACUUAGUAUUUUUAAGAGAUAGAGCCACUUUUUACCGCCUCCGUAAAUCAGAAGUACAGUCGUUUCUCCUCUAAUCAUUUCUUUAGGAGAGACACCAAACGAGAGGCAAGUGCAAUAUCACGCUGGCUAUGCGAUAAUGGUUGGGUGUCUUAUUCUAUGCCCAUUGGCUGCGAAUCUUGUAAGUUUAAUCAUUCAUUGUAGUUUUCCUUACAUGUGUAAAGGUUAAUAAAGAGGAUGAAAAUGAUGUAUAUAUAUUAAAACAAUUGUCCCUUUACACGCUUUUGCAGUUUAAUUACACCAAGCAAGGCAUAUAUAUAUAGAGAGUGCCGCAUAUACUCAUUGUUUGUGAGGAUAAUUCUCACGUGAAUCGAUAACAUGGUGGUGGACGUCGUUAACCACGUGGUGCCUAUCAAUUUCGACCAUCCUUUAUUUGGAUUUCGAAUAAAACGAUCACUGGAGAACGAAUAUUAUGGUCCUGAUGGGGAUAGCUUCGUUUUUCUUUUCUCUUUUGGAAUUUUUUUUUGGACCAAAGCAUGUGGUUUAGGUUGGAGCAUAUAAUGCCUAGCUGGCCUCUCUCUUUGUAGUUUGUAGGUCUUGUUUAGCAUGUACAUUAUUAAGUUAGGUUCGUACAGAUUUUGCCGUUCCAAUGACACCUUAUGAAUAUGAUUAUCUUAUAUUGCAACAACUUUAUUACUGCCUAACACCUUCAGUUUGUCACACUUAUAAACCAGUGGCAUUUGAGAGGCUAUAUAUAUGUGACAUGAUUUUCUGUACCAUGCAUGGGAUCUAACUUUUUUUUUUGCGAAACUCAUGGUAUCUAACUUUUAAGCUUAGGUUACGUUUUGUUUUACACGAUGUAAUAUUCACACACAUCACGCUAACACGUCUCUAAUGUAGGUGCCUUUCUUGUCUGAUUCUAGCAUAGUGACACACACUCACGUGGGUGUGCAUCCUAGGCCUUGUUUUCUUACCACAAAUUUUGCAAAAUUUUUCACAUUUCUCGUCAUAUCGAAUCUUACGGCAUAUGCAUAGAGCAUUAAAUAUAGAUUAAAAAUAACUAAAUUGCAUAGUUUACCUGUAAUUUGCGAGACGAAUCUUUUGAGCCUAGUUAGUCCAUGAUUAGAUAAUAUUUAUCAAAUACAAACGAAAGUAUUACACUGUCUAUUUUGCAAAAAAAAACAUUUGUAACUAAACAAGACCCUAGCACAUACGGGUAAACAAAGUUUUUAAAUUUUGUUGUAAACUAUUGUAUUAUCUCUGUUAAAAAAAUAUAAUUCUAGAUGUAUACUAAGGUAAAAUGUCUAAGUUUGACCAAAUAAAAAAUAUCAAUAUCUAUAAUGGUAAAUAAAUAUAUUAGAAAAAUAUUUUAUGAUGAAACUAAUAGUACUUCUACCUAUUUAUAGUACAACAAAUAUAAGUAUAUAAAUUGGUCAAACUUGAUAAACUUUAACAUAAUAUAUUAUACUCAUAUUCUGUAACCUAUUUGUUGUGAUGAUACAUGACUGCAGGAGAGAGUGGAGGGAAAUUGAAGCACUAAAAUUGACGGCCCUGAUUAGCAGCGUUAGUGAUACUAGUUAAUUGGCAGUAUGGCACGUUUGUUUGGCGCGAUGGUGCUCGUACGAAACGCAUGAUGACCAGUCCACACACCGAUGAUGACCAGCUAGCGUGUUCCGUUCCGUGCUCAUCAGCUGUGCUAGCUUGCUGCUCUAAGUCGUGUUAUCCUCCCUCUUUCAGUUGGGUUCCUGGGGAUGCACAUUUCUUAGGCCUUGUUUAGUUUUCAAAAAAAUUUAAUAUUCUCCAUCACAUCGAAUCUUAUGCCACAUGUAUGGAGUAUUAACAAAAACAAAAACUAAUUUGUAAUUUACGAGAUGAAUUUUUUGAGCCUAGUUAAUCCAUGAUUGAACAAUAAUUAUCAAAUACAAACGAAAAUACUACAGUAACUAAAAUCCAAAAUUUUUGCCAACUAAACAAGGCCUUAAUCCGUGUUGGAUUAGGGCUACACGAUUGCUUUACUAAACAAGGCGUGUCCUGCAUCCUGUCACACGGUUGCUUUACUUUGCUUGGGACGUUACGUCACUCGUGCUAGCUUUUGCUGUUCAUCAUGAGCAGAGAAUAUCGAGCUAGAAAGUGCUGGCUGGCAUGCAUGGCUCCCUCGGUCGCGGAGGACCAUGCAUAUGCGCCAUCAAACUUUCGAGAUAGACAACACAGCGUUAGUACAGUGACGUUUUGUACUGGCUGUCAACAAUGGUUUGGGCUGUGUUCGUGGUUUUUACCGCGCGCCAAAUGCAUUUUUACUAGCUAGUACCUAGUAGUAUAGCUAUCAAAACUAUUUUCACAAGUGCCCAUCGAUGUAAAAUUAAAGACGUUGAUGACUUUAUGUCAAGUGCUAACAUAUGUGAAGUCAAAGAAAACAAAGUAAUUUGAUCCAGAAACCAUAAGCAUGUGUUGGUUGGGUGGCUAACUCCCAAUCAAACUCUAGAUAGCUACCUUCUAGCUAUUUGGUUGCUUUUAAACAGCCCAAAGCCAGACCUAGAUAAGCCACUUUAGAGGUCCUAGCCUGGCUCUAGUAAAAUGAGAUGGGGGUCCAUUUUUUGCUAGCUAGGCCUGGCUAAGCUGCGACCGAAGUUCUCGUCACCUCUUGGCAGCGCCACCUAUUCCGACUCCUCCGACGAAUGCCACCACCUCCUCCACCAGAUUGGCCAGCCGCUCCCCUCCUCCCCCGCCCCUCCCCUUCCCGCAAAGGAACCGGCCAUUCCACGGCAUGCGGCGGCGGCCGUGGGGCAAGUACGCGGCGGAGAUCCGCGACCGGGGGUCGCGGGGAAGCGUCGCUGGCUCGGAACCUUCGACACCGCCGAGGAGGCCGCCGCCGUCUACGACGCCGCCGCGCUCUGUAUCCGCGGCCGCCGCGCCGUCACCAACUUCCCCUCCUCCCCAGCCGCCGUCGCGCUGGCGCCUGCCCUUGCCAUGCCUUGUUCCACACCGUCCCUAGCCCCUGAGGCUGAGACCUCCUCCGCCUCGACGGUGGUCGAUACCGGGGCUCACCGGCUUCAUCUGCUGCAGCUCGCGGCCGAAGAGAGAGGAGCGAGCUCAUCGGUUGCUGUCUGGGUGGAAGGAGGGGGACUCACAUCUGCGAGGCGUGAGUGAUCUCGAGCCUGACCUCCUCUGCUCCUUCUGUAGUACUCCCUCCUCCCCUACUUUCUAGAUAGUGGAGGAUUUUAUGGUGGUGAUGUUGUAAGCCAUGAGAGCAGGAUUGAAGCAGAGGGCCGUCACCAGUUGUCGUCGAGAGGAACAAGGUGAAGGAGGUAAAAUCACCAUCGUAGAGAAGCUAAUCCAACCAACCAAACAAAAACUAAUUAACUUAGCCAGGCUUAGCUAGCACAUGACAAACCAAACACUACUAGGGUGGCUUAACUUGGACAGGCUAACUCAAAUCUGGCUUAUCUUUCUAGCCAGGCUAGUUGGAGCCAAGGGCGAAGCUGAAAUAGAAUUUAUGGUGGUGCACACAAGCAUAGCCUUGUAGUAACAUCACCAUUUGAGAGCUUAUUAACAUGGUGAAAAUAGGUUACUUAAUGCUACACUAUUUUUCUACCAUGGUGCUCGUGCACCACUAUAGAUGAACGUGGCUUCACCUCUAGCUGGAGCCACACAACCAAACACACCCAAUAUAGACUACAAUAUGAGAAAACUCGGGUGGCUAGCUUUUUGAGCUCUGGAGUAUCCCUUCUGCCCACACAAAAAGUUCUCCAGUGGGCCUUUGGGUCGAAUGCUCCAGGCAGGCUAAGCUGGGCCACUCGGCGGUGCAAGCGGGGAAGGAAGAGUGGACGGAAAUGCCGGCCGGCAGCAUGGGAAAAUCGGGCCAGAGAAGAUUUCAGACCGAGCUGGCCGGGCCACUGGGCCGUGAUGUCGGGAAAUCAAGAAAGGAUACGGUAGUAGCACUGGUCUACAUUUAUUAGACGUAUGCAUUUCUGUAGCUCACAGUCGGCAUUUUCAACGGCUCAGAAGUUCGAAUUCCAGAAAAAUUUUUAAUGAUAAUAUAACGACAUAUACUCCAGUAUAGCCCUAUAUAUACUCCAGUAUAGCCCUAUAUGAACUUGGUGGUAAUAUAACCUUAACGGAUGCCACGAGUAAUUUUUUCUUGAUGCAAUAUAAUAAAAUUUUUACAACCGAGAACAAUAGAGUUUCAUCAUGGCUAUAUUCACAACUACCAACUAUUUUUAGAACAGUGCAACACCAAACUCUACCAACUAUUUUUAGAACCGUAGCAACACCAAACUACUCUCGCAUCGAAGAGUCAAUAAUAACACACAAUUGCCCACUAGUUGUGGCAAUAUUACGUGUACAUGCAGCCACCAUUUCAACCGUACUGACAACACCUAUCUCCCACAACAGAGCAUACGACUAACGCCACAUGCCAUUUUGGUGGCCAUAAGGCCCACAUGUGCUUCCAAUAUAUGAUAUCAGUUAAGUUGUCAUAGAACCCCAUAUUGUAACUAAAUGUGUGGUUUUGUGAAAACAAGUGGUGCUAGAAGGGUCAAAUUCUUAUAGUGAUACUUCAAAACACUCAAGAAAGUAAGUUCAGCAAGUGUGAGUUUUGGCUCAUAAAAGUUUCUUUUUUGGGUCAUGUCUUGUCUCACAAUAGAGUGGUCGUCGACCCAAGAAAGAUUCUCGAUGGUGCCUGACUAUGAGUCGGUGGCAUGUGCAUCCCCAAGUGCGACCAUGAUGAUGGCGGCGACCGCACGCCCACCCUAUGGACAACGGCGAUCCAUGGUGACUACGUCAGUGCCACAAGCCACAAGGUGGGUAGCCUCGAUCGAUGAUGACCAGAGUACGCAUGAGGAGUCGACAGGAACUUGCUUGUGGUGGGGACGGUGAGCCACAACGCUGCUGCAUGGACGAUGAUGCCAGCCUCAAGGUAGUCUGCUGCCAUAUCCUUUAGGGCUUUGGUUUGGAUAAAAUUGGGAAAAUCUUGGGGAUUCAGGGAUCUAGGGUUUUGGAUGUUGGGAAUUUGAAGUGCUUAGUGUUCUUUCUUUCAAAUCGCCUCUUGCGUGAUGAUGUGACACACCACCAAAAACCAAAGGUAGGCACUAAUGUGCUUCGUAACAUGAACUAGGUAUAAACAAGAGAACUGUUGGCCCUAACUGUUAAACGGUAUUGCGUCCAGGUGCAGGAUAGCGCAGAUGCUAUUCUUGUAAUCCAAGUCAUGCGUGUGCGUGAGUCUUGGAAGAUAGAUGGGUUAGUUGAGGGUUUGUAGAUAUUCUUGUUGUAACAAACUUAUUGUUGUAAGCCACGCCGGUGGGCUGUUCCCGGCUUCUAUAUAACACAUAACCGAGACCCUGGGAGGGCAACUCGUUCAAUCAAUCUUCACAUGGUAUUCAGAGCCUCUUUCCUAGCGGAGUUAGAUCAUGGCAUCCUCUUCCGCUGUAUCGCUUGUUCCUCCUUAGGGUUCUCGCCCGUCAGCGAGAAGCUGACUCGCGCCAACUAUCAAGCAUGGAGCGCAUAGGUCCUCUCGGCGGUCAAGGGGGCGCAGCUCUACAGCUUCAUCAGUCCACGGCGGCUCCACCACCCGAGUUCCUUGAUGUCAAGGGUGAUGACAAUAAUGCCGAGCCAAAGCCCAAUCCCAAAUAUGAUAUUUGGGUUGCAAAGGACCAACAGGUCCUGAGUUUCAUCCUUUCCAAUCUUGGGAAGGAGAUCCUUGCUCAGGUGUCUUCAGAGAAGACUGCAGCCGCGGCAUGGGUCGCGAUCGAAGCCAUGCACGCGUCCCAGUCAAGGGCGCGGAUCAUCGCUACAAGGAUGGCCCUUGCAACUGCAACCAAGGGGUCCUCCUCUGUGGCAGAUUACUUCGGCAAGAUGAAAGGCCUCGCAGAUGAGAUGGCAUCUGCGGGAAAAAGCUUGAAGAUGAUGAGCUUGUCUCGUAUAUUCUCACUGGGCUGGACCUGGUCUUCAAUCCAGUUGUCUCAGCGGUGAGCGCCAGAGUGGAACCAAUUACGGUGGCGGAGCUGUACACACAGCUCACAAGCUUUGAACAGAGGAUGGAACUUCAUGGUGGAGGUUCCCAAUCGUCGGCCAACAUGGCCGCCAAAGGAGGACGUGGAGGCGGCGGCAACUUCAACAACCCUCGCAACCGCAAUGGCGGCGAUCGCGGGGGCUUCGGACGAGGCGGCAGAGGUGGUCGCGGCAACGGUGGCCGUGGCCCCAAUUUCCAGGAGGGCGUCUUCUGCCAGCUCUGUGGGAAAGAAGGGCACUCCGUCAUUAAGUGCUACAAAUGCUUCGACCCCACGUUCACUGGUCCUCCUCAGAAGAGCGCCGCGGCUGCCACAGCGUCAUACGGCGUGGACACCAAUUGGUACGUAGACUCGGGUGUUACGGACCACGUGACUGGCGAUCUGGAGAAACUCACAGUUCGUGACAAGUAUGGAGGUCAUGACCAGGUUCAUACGGCAAGUGGAAAAGGUAUGGAAAUCCAUCAUGUUGGUUCUAGUAUUUUGCGUACCCAUACUAGCAAAAUUCAUCUCAAUAAUAUUCUGCAUGUUCCACAAGCCACAAAAAGUCUCCUUUCCGUCAAUCGUCUUGCUCGUGAUAACAAUGCCUUCUUAGAAUUUCACCCCGAUCACUUUUUUAUCAAACAACAGGGGACGAGGAGGACUCUCCUUCAAGGCAGAUGUGAAGGAGGCCUCUAUCCUCUCAAGUCGGUCAAGAAUAAGAAUAAGCAAGCUCUCGGCGUUCUCAAGCCCUUCGUGUCUCAAUGGCAUCAUAGAUUAGGUCAUGCAUCUAUUUCAGUAGUCAAGCAGGUCCUUAAUCGCCAUAGACUUCCUUUUGUUAAUGAUUCAAAUAAAGACACUAUUUGUGAUGCAUGUCAAAGGGGCAAAAGCCACCAAUUGCCCUAUAUUCGUUCAACUAGUGAAUCUACUAGUCCUUUGGAACUUAUUUACUCUGAUGUUUGGGGUCCUGCUCCUGCCUCUGUUGGCCGAAAUUGUUACUAUGUGAGUUUCAUAGAUGACUUCAGUAAGUUCACGUGGAUUUAUCUUCUGCGUCACAAAUCUGAGGUCUUCCAAAAAUUUCGUGAUUUCCAGAGCUUGGUUGAACGCCAGUUUAACAAAAAAAUCUUGACCAUGCAAACCGAUUGGGGAGGAGAAUAUCAGUCCCUCAAUUCCUUUUUCAAAUGCACUGGGAUUGCACAUCGUGUGUCAUGCCCACACGCUCAUCAGCAAAACGGGUCGGCCGAACGCAAACAUAGACAUAUCGUUGAGGUCGGACUCACCCUCCUAGCUCAUGCUUCCAUGCCCCUCAAAUUCUGGGAUGAGGCAUUCCUUACAGCUGUGUACCUUAUCAAUCGGCUUCCAUCAAGAGUGAUCUCAAAUGAGACACCUCAUGCUCGUCUUCUUGGGACUCAGCCAGAUUAUACCUACAUCCGUACCUUUGGUUGUGCCUGUUGGCCCAACUUGAGACCAUACAAUGAUCGUAAACUCCAAUUUAGGUCUAAGCGCUGUGUCUUUCUUGGCUACAGUAACAUGCACAAGGGAUUUAAGUGCCUUGAUCCCUCUGUAGGCAGAGUCUAUAUCUCCAGAGAUGUGGUUUUUGAUGAGCAUGUUUUCCCCUUUGCUGAGAUGCAUCCGAACGCUGGUGCACGGCUUCGCACCGAACUAUCUCUCCUCCCAGACGUUUUACUCAAUCCCACCGCUGGUUUUGGGGACGCACAGAUACGUGACCAAUGUGAUAUUUCCAUAUCUACUAAUGAUGCUCCACAGUUUGGAGAAAUUUUGGCUGGAAUAGGUGAAGAAGACAGGAGAACUGGGCUUCAAAACGCUGAAGUGCAGCGUCAUUUCAUGUGUCCCAGCAGAGGGGGCACAGGCGCGGAGCACAGAGCAGAUCCGUCUGCAGCAACGACGGCUGAUUCGAUCGGGUCAUCCGCGGGAUCAGUUCCUGAUGCAGACGGGCAGCUGGGUGGACAGGCAGGUGGAUCCUCUACGCCCGAUCACGCCACGGCUCCAUCUUCUGCAGACGCAGCGCAGCCGCAGCCUGAUCCGAGCGUGGGGGGCACAAACUCAGAGGAGAUCUCCCCGCCCGGAUCGUCUGUGGCGACUGGAUCUGGUGGUAAGCAUGUAGCAUCUGCUCUGCCAGAAGCUCCUACCCGGCCAGUAACUCGUCUUCAGCACGGUAUUCGCAAACCAAAAGUUUAUACUGAUGGUACGGUACAUUGGGGCAUGCAUAGUGCUACUGUUGCAGGUGAACCAAGCACGGUUGAUGAGGCUUUUGGUGACAAGCAGUGGGUCGAGGCAAUGAACAGUGAGUAUGCUGCAUUGUUGAAGAAUCAAACUUGGCACUUGGUACCUUAUCCGAAAGGCAAAAAUAUCAUUGAUUGUAAGUGGGUGUAUAAUGUUAAAAGGAAGGCAGAUGGUACUAUUGAUCGAUAUAAAGCCCGACUUGUGGCAAAGGGAUUUAAACAGAGGUAUGGAAUAGAUUAUGAGGACACCUUCAGUCCUGUGGUAAAAGCAGCAACUAUUCGGCUUAUUCUUUCAAUUGCUGUUUCAAAUGGCUGGUCACUGAGACAGUUAGAUGUUCAAAAUGCUUUCCUUCAUGGCAUUCUAGAGGAAGAAGUGUAUAUGAGGCAACCUCUAGGUUAUGCUGAUCCAUCACGGCCUAACUUUGUGUGCAAGUUGGACAAGGCAUUGUAUGGGCUCAAGCAAGCACCCCGAGCAUGGUAUGCACGGCUAUGUCACAAACUUCAAUCAAUUGGCUUUAUACCAUCCAAAGCCGACACCUCACUUUUUUACUAUAAUCGUGGCAAGUACAGAAUGUUCAUUCUAGUUUAUGUAGAUGACAUCAUUGUAGCAAGCUCUUCCAUGGAAGCGACUAAAGCACUGCUUAAAGAUCUCGAGAAAGAUUUUGCCCUGAAGGAUCUGGGGGAGUUGCAUUAUUUCCUUGGGAUUGAGGUCAAGAAGAGAGAAAAUGGCCUUGUGAUGUCUCAAAGUCGCUAUGCUGAGCAGAUAAUUCGAAGGGCCGGCAUGCAUCUGUCAAAAUCAGUGAGCACACCUCUGUCCAGUGUUGAUAAGUUGAGUGCCAUGGACGGGGAUAGGCUGGGACCACAGGAUGCGACCAACUACAGAAGUGUUGUGGGGGCAAUGCAAUAUUUGACUCUGACUAGACCUGAUAUUUCAUUUGCGGUCAACAAGGUUUGUCAGUUCCUUCAUGCACCCACAAGUGUUCAUUGGUCAGCAGUUAAACGCAUACUACGUUUUGUCCAUGGAACUCUAACGCUUGGGUUGAGUAUUCGGAAGUCAGACUCAACAUUGGUAAGCUCUUUCUCAGAUGUAGACUGGGCUGGAUGUGUGGAUGAUAGGCGUUCAACAGGUGGAUUUGCAGUCUUUCUGGGGUCCAAUCUCAUCUCAUGGAGCGCAAGAAAACAGGCCACAGUCUCAAGGUCAAGUACUGAGGCAGAGUAUAAAGCACUUGCUAAUGCAACGACAGAGAUGAUGUGGGUUCAGAAACUUUUGACUGAGUUGGGAAUUCGACAUCCACCUGCAGCUCGUCUCUGGUGUGAUAACAUUCACUACAAGGAAUGGUGCUUUACAUGACGAUCACUUUGGUCAUAGACAGUCAAAAAUACGUCACAGUUAACUUGCCAUGACGAUCGAAAAAUCUGUCAUGUAUCUCACGUCAUACAUUUGCUGGAUCUAAUUGAGCCGUCAUAGAUUAGGAUAUGUGAUCGUCAUGGGUUAGUUGUCUAUCUUCUAUAACCAGCCCAGAUCCAAAGCAUAGUGAUGAAAAGAACAUCAAAAAUAAGUGCCAAAUCAUCACUUCAUCAACAUGCAUCACAACUCGUAAGAUUCACCAAACAAUAAUUCAUUCAUGUACUAGCAUGUCCACAACAGCCACAUUGAACAUCAAGCCACAGAUUGGCCUAGCUCACAACCAUUAGAGUGACCAUCACAAUAUCUAAGUUUGAACUAAAAGAUUUGAUAUCUAGGGAGUCUAAACAACUAAACAUUAGUAUUCACGAGCACUUCAAUUCACUUGCUGUCCAUAAGAUGUGCUACCUGAAAAUCAAAACAAAUAUAAGUCAGAUUUGCUAACAAAGAUUCUAAAAAGAAAUGUCAUCUAUUUAUUAGGAAGCUUUGAAACUAGUUAACAAAUUCAAUACAUAUGCUAGUCCAAAAUUCUGAAAACAGAUAACAAGUAAACAACCAACACUUUUGGCACCAAUGCAUAGUUUCAGAGUUCCAUACAGCAAGAUAAUCACAUCAUAUAAUGCUAUAAGAAUUAAUUUCAACCUUUUGUUCUAGAUCAGUAGUAACAGCAGCAGCAGACAAGAAGCACUUACUUGAAGCAAAAUCAUGGGACAGAAUUGUUUUGGAGUGUCAUGAUAGUUUCUGCAUUGGACUAUGUUUACCUAUAUACAAAUAAUAGAUAUGAAGAUUGUAUACUAUAUCGAAUAGAUGUGCCAAAUAAUAAAUUAUAGCACAUACCUUUGUUUAUUUAUCAAAGUAUUGUCCAAGCAGCCACUCGUCAAACAAAGUCACAUGCAAUUCAGUUACAAGAACUCAAAUUCAGUAACUUCAGUGUUACAAAAGUUCCAGAAAUCCGUUGAGCACAAAUCAGUAAGCAUUUCAGUUAAAUCAACCAUAAGUGCAUCAUAUCCCAGUGCGUUGAGAGCAGCAGCAUGUAGUACAUCUAGGAACUGAUGCAAUUUAGAUGAAGAAAUCCGGCUUUUAGUUUCAGAAACUACUAUACUCACAUAUAGAAAAUGGAGGAGCAGCAGGACUGGCGGCUCCUCCUUGCUUGGGGAGUUGUACGACAUGGCACGCGCAGCAGCCGGGGACCUACGUCCUUGGAGAUGAAAUCUGGAGGAAGGCCCGGAUGCCUCGGCGUCGCCACAGAGCAGCAUAACGAGGAGUAAUUAGUGUAGAACUGCAUCUGGGGCAGAUGGGGAAGAGGAUGGUUACCAGGAAGUAGAUGGGGCACUCGUCGAGGUCGGCGCGCGCGUCGUCGGCGCCCCGGUGGAAGGGCGUGAGCUUGGCAUCAAGGAUGAGGCGGCGGAGCUUCCUGAGGUUCCCAUGGCAUGGAUCUGGCUGGGGGAGAAGGGCGCGGCCACCACGUCGUGGAUCUGGCUGGAGAAGAAGAAGGGAGGUUCCCAUGGCAUGGAUCUGGCCGGAGGAGAAGGGUGCGGCCUCCUCGUCGUGGAUUUGACUGGAAGAGAAGAACGGCGGCCACCCACAUGGAGUCGACAUGGGAAGGACCAAAGGAGAGACCGUGAGAGGAUAAGGGAGGGGAUAGGAAGGAGCCGACGCUCAGUUUUCUUAUUCUAUUUUUUCUCACGUAAUAGUAACAUAUAAUCUGUCAUAGAUUAGGGACUUCCAUGAUGAUUUUUUAGAACGUCACCAAAAUUCGUCAUGUAUAGUCACAUUUGUUGUAGUGAUUGGAGCAACUUAUCUGUCUGCUAAUCCUGUUUUUCAUGCCAGGACUAAACAUAUUGAGAUCGACUUUCAUUUUGUUAGAGAAAGAGUUGCACAGAAGCUGUUACAAAUCAGGUUCAUUGCAUCAAAGGACCAGCUUGCAGAUGGUUUCACAAAACCUGUGACAACAACGCAAUUGGCGCGAUUUCGGAGCAAUCUCAAUCUAGUGGCCGGUUGAGAUUGAGCGGGGGUGUUAAACGGUAUUGCGUCCAGGUGCAGGAUAGCGCAGAUGCUAUUCUUGUAAUCCAAGUCAUGCGUGUGCGUGAGUCUUGGAAGAUAGAUAGGUUAGUUGAGGGUUUGUAGAUAUUCUUGUUGUAACAAACUUAUUGUUGUAAGCCACGCCGGUGGGCUGUUCCUGGCUUCUAUAUAACACGUAACCGAGACCCUGGGAGGGCAACUCGUUCAAUCAAUCUUCACACUAACCUUACACUAGCUUUAGUGCCAUAGUUAAAUUCACAGGAUCAUAAGGUCUAGAACUAGGACACAAGAACAAUAGAACUUGCAUGAAUGAACAAGUGGUAAUCAUACCUUCGUUUGACAGACGAUACACUAUAACUUUCUUUGAAUGGCAAAGCACAGCAGCAGGGCCUGCACACUGAAAUUUAGGACACAACCAGUUAGGCAUUUUCACAUCUAGCUGCUUAUGAUCAAUCCAACACUGCCCAAUGUUUUUUUGGGGGCAAAUUCCAUAGUCCAGCCGUCCCUGACCCCGACAUUGUUAGUUGGAGCUCUCCUGGGGGAGCUCCGGUGAUUAGUUUUCUCCAAAAUUAGUUUUCAGGGUUAUUUUUUUAGGGAGCUCUUAGAGUUGCUCAGUUGGUUCAACUAACUAAUGACAUGAUGAGCUUAAAUUAUUUUUGCAUGCAAAGAUUAGGGAGCUGCUGUGGAGAAAACUAAUUUUAGAGGAACAUUACUGAACACAGGCAACUAACAAUGUGGAGAAAAAUAACCCUAAUUGCUGGUCCUCAUGUGGAGAAUGGAGAGAGUGCACUAUUUUGGAAUGAUACUUGAAAUAAUCAAUUCCUGGCUUCUUUAGCUCCUGAACUUUUCUCUUUUGCAAAGAAUAAGCUGAUUUCAGUACAAAAAGCAUUCAGUCAGGAGGAAUUUUCAGAAUUAUUUCAGUUACCAGUGUCCCAACCUGUCGUUUCUGCAAAUGCAGGACAUUCAACAAUUGAUUGAAAAUAUGCCUCUUAGUGCUAACAAUGACAGCUGGUUCUAUUCCUAGGGAUCCAUCAUUUUUUGCUUCGACAAAGGUUUACAAAGUGCUAGCUGGACAUUCAGAGAUUCAGCCCACCUUCAAAUGGCUAUGGUAGGGAAAAUGUUAGCCUAAACAUAAAGUCUUCUUUUGGCUUCUAAUCAAUGACAGGCUUAGCACUAGAAACAUCCUGAGAAGAAGAAACAUGCUUCUGGACUCUUAAAGUGUUGUCUUGUGCAAUCACUUGGUUGAAAAAUCAGUUGAUCAUCUCUUUGUGGAAUAUCCAUUUGCAAGGAUUUGUUGGGAUAUAGUAAGCAUUGACAUUCCUGUGGGCAGAAGCUUCCCAGAGCUUACUACUCAGCUGAAGAUUCAGCUUAACUCCUAGUUUUCCAUGGAAGCCAUAAUCAUUAUGUGUUGGACUAUCUGGACAGCAAGAAAUGACCUUAUCUUCUAAGGAAUCAGUUUAAACCUGUCAGCAUGCUGACGUGUUUUCUUCAUAGAGCUCAUGCUCCUCCUUCAGCAUAGAGUGAAGACAGGACAUGAAGAACACCUAAUUACAUGGAUCUAAAGUCUGGAAUAGAACUGCUUCUGUUGUUGAUUUUCUUUUUGUCUUUCUUGUCUCUUGGAUAGCUCCCUGUUUAGCCCCCCCCCCUUUUCUCCCUGUUCUUUGUUGCUAUUUUUUCCUUUUUCGUUUACUUGUACUCUUGUUUAGACUCUAUCAUUUUUUUAUUCAAUAAAUUUCUGUAGGGGCCUUGGGAGCUGUUAGACCAAUGUUUUAACGCCGGUAACAACACAAAUAUCAGUUUUGUAGUGUUAUUAGUCUUCUGUUGAAGAUGCUCAAUAACAGGUCGCCUCGCUUUGCUUGGCUAGUAACCGUAGUAACCGCAAAUUUGUUCUGCAGUGAUCGAUUUUUUUCAAAGUUGUUCAUGGUCCUGCGUUCUACACAGAUCCCUCCACGUUCUUCCAUGUUAGCCACUGAACGGCUGGUACACCUUGAGCGCAUCCACGACGUCGGCGAUGGAACCGGCGGCGGCGGCAAUGGAGACGAGGAGGCAGGUGAAGCUGAGCGUCUGGAGGCUGAUCCACCUGGGGCUUCCACGAGGCACACGACGUUGCUUGAUGUACAUCUCGACGGGGAAGUAGACGGUGAGCGGCCAGAACGAGACGGCGCCGAGGAGCCCCGCCACGUCGCCGAAGAACGGCAGCAGCAUGGCCACGACGGUGGUGACGCACACGAACGCCGACCGCCAUGUCAGGCGGAAAAGGCUCAGGGCGAAGGGACCGACACGGAGCUCCCGGGAGAUGAAGGCGCUGUCCGGCCACGCCGCGGCGGCGCGGCGCUCGACGAAGGCGAAGAUGGGCUGGCAGAACACCUGGUACGCGCCGACGAGGUGCACGACGAUGGCGACGUUGGCGACGUCGAGCAGCCAGAAGGGCUCGUAGAAGCCGAAGCCGGUGAGCAGGUUAUCCGGCGCGUUGUCACCGAAAGCCGCGUACCCCAUGCAGCCGCACAGCAUGUAGAAGAUGGUCGUCGUCGCCACGCUGAGACGCGUCGCCUUCUGCAUCACCUUCGACUCCGACGGUGGUGGCGCCUUGAUCGUGUCCUGAUCAAGAACCAGAGCAGCAGCAUCCUUGGUCAGAAACAGGGGAAUCGAGUUGCAGAGAAUAGAACAGUAGUGCAUGCUUACUUGGAUCUCGAUGAGGAUGUUGGAGAAGGAGUAGGCGAAGGCGAUGUCGCCGAAUGCCUGCAGGGUGUGCCAGAUCUUCUGCGUCGAGGUGACGCCGGCGCCGAAGCCGAUGCUGGUGAGAGUGCCCUUGAACCCACCGUUGGCUGAAAUAGUUCAUUCAAUCGAGUCAGAAGGAACAGUAAGUAACUAAGAAUCUAUCAAUCGAAGUCACUGCAUGCAUGAGUGUCUGAACAAUCCGAAAAUCGGAAUAUCCGAUUGAAGAAGCAACAACUUACAGACGGUCUGUGCGAUUCCGAGGGACAGUCCGAUAGAAGAAUAGGUGAAGGACAUGACUGCAGCGACAAUGGAGAGCCACCAAAUCUCAUCGAAGUCCGGUAUCUGCGAGAAGAGGAUCUGCACAACGCCGAAGAGGAUCAUGUACGGGGUGCUGGAGCUCUUGCAGGGAUCCCCAUGACCGUGGGUGUGGAAGCACCCAGCUCUCCUGAUGGCCUUCAUGCUGAUGGACGACGCGAUGGUGUAGCCAAUGGCGACGCCGACGAGGUUGGCGUACUGGAUGACGCCGCAGAACACGACCUUUUUGCCGCCGAGGUUGGAGCGCACGGCGUCCAUGUACGUGUAGUUGCGCUUGCCGGUGUCGGGGUCGCCGGUCCGGUAGCACUCGGCGAGUAGGGUGGCGGUGUAGUAGGUGACGAAGGCGAAGAGGAGCAUGGCGGUAGGGCCGGCAAC
rnacentral:lncRNA from 1 species